rnacentral:rRNA from 1 species
AGCAGCCGCGGUAAUUCCAGCUCCAAUAGCGUAUAUUAAAGUUGUUGCAAGUUAAAAAGCUCGUAGUUGAACGUUCAGGCCUGGCUGGACGGUCCGCCUUCCGGGCGAGCACUGUCUGUGGUCGGGUCCUACCUUCUGGCGAAGCGUCAUGGCCUUAACUGGCCGUGGCGGGGAACCAGGACUUUUACUGUGAAAAAAUUAGAGUGUUCAAAGCAGGCAAUUCGCUUGGAUACAUUAGCAUGGAAUAAUGGAAUAGGACAAUGGUUCUAUUUGUUGGUUUCUAGGACUGUUGUAAUGAUUAAUAGGGAUAGUUGGGGGCAUUAGUAUUCAAUUGUCAGAGGUGAAAUUCUUGGAUUUAUUGAAAGACUAACUACUGCGAAAGCAUUUACCAAGGAUGUUUUCAUUAAUCAAGAACGAAAGUUAGGGGAUCGAAGACGAUCAGAUACCGUCGUAGUCUUAACCAUAAACUAUGCCGACUAGGGAUCGGAUGAUGUUAAAUUAAUGACUCAUUCGGCUAACC